GGAUACUCUCCAAGUUUCAAGAUGUUACAGUGCUGAUCUUCUGAACAAAUGCCUCCUGAGGACUUCUGUGCCUGGAAAAAAACCUGUCAACAGAUUGCUUGAUACCUCUGUUGGAAAACAAGGCUUUAGAGAAGAUGUGAAUUGAUAAAGGUCGCACUGCGAAUCAGAAAUGUGUCUGAGGAUCCAGGUCUUCUGACAGUUUGCUGCCGGCCACAUCCUACUCAUCUCAAAUUUCCGCCUUACUCUUGGUGGGUUAAGUUUGGUGCUGCUUCUAAUUAGGACCAAAGCUGGUUUUAAUGGUCUGCCCAUAUUCUCAUUGUUGAAAUCAUGAAACUUGGAGCUAACUUAUGUUCAGAGUUCCAUGUGGCCAUAUGAUGAUCAACCAUUAUAAUAAACAGAAAAGAACUGAGCAGCAAAGGAUGCUGGCUCAGAGCCUGGGCUUGGACUCAAGCAAACUGAGGUUUAAAUCCUGCCCUUCCCAUUCACAAGCUGCAUGACCAAGGGCAAGUAAUAUACCCUUUCUAAAUCUCUUUUGCCUCACCUGGAAAAUGGAGAUAAUACCAUCUACCUUGUUAGGUGUUUGUGAUUGCUGAGAAAAUGCAUACAAAGCACAUAGCACAGUGCCUGGCACAGAGUAAGUAUUACAGAAAUGGAAGCUAUUAUUGUGCAGAGAAUCCUUCCUGUUCACUUCUCAGUUCGUUUUGACCUUCACCCUGAGAGGAUACUCCAGAGGUCUGAUUAAUCUAAUAAAAUAAUGAAGAUUUUUAGUGCUUUAAAAUGCACAGACUGUUUCCAUAUACUGAAUUACAUAUGCUUCUAAUAAUCACUGCAGGAUAGGAAUUUUUAUUUCCAUUCUGUAGACCACAAUACAAGGGCUCAGAAAAAUUAAAUGAUUUGCCCAAGGUCUCAGAGCUAGUAAGUGGCACAGCCAGGACUUCAGCUCAAAACUGUAGCUCCAGAUCCUGUACUACUUGUUCAACUGCUUCUUGUAAGCAAAUAUUCAUUAAAUGCAUAUAGGUCAGCAGAAAAUGAGUUAGUAUCACCACCAAUUAAAAGUUUCAUCUUUAAUCUCUCCUAAAUACUCGAAUUAGAACUGCUGCACUACGAUGCCUCCCUAACAUUUUGAAGCUAGGUUCUGAAGAGGAGUGACAGAUCUUCUUCUUCUUGUGAAAUCCUCAAGCCCCGAGGGAAGUUAACUUAAUUUAGUUUGCUCAUGCAAGAACAGACUGGCAUUUCACUUAAAUAUAAACAGUGUAGUUCCACUGUUCACCUUUUUGCCACACAAGAGUUACUGAUGUGGUUUAUUGAUUUCACAUUUCAGGCUCCAACUUUACUAUCAGAUUUGGAAGAAAAAUACAAAGUAAGGCAACCUGCUCAAAAUCAGCAUAAAGCAUGGCAGUGCAGACCAGACUUGGAAAUGGCUUGUGGGCUAAGAGACACUAAGAAAGGAUUUUGUUCUUGAAAGAUUAUUUUAAUGCUUGAGAUGGAGGGUUUUACAAUUUUAAGUGGGUUUUCUGUUUAAAAAAGAGUUGUGAAAAGUAGCUUUCCUUUCAGAUGUUGCCAGUACCUUAAAAUUUGUUGAUGGUUAAAAUUGAUCUUCAAACAGAAUCAGCCUGACUUAUAGAAUUUCAACCCUAUUGUAACCUGGCCUGAAAAAAAAAAAAAAAAAAAGAUCAAGUUGAUGGUUGGAAAUUGGGGGAUAUGGAGGAAUGGAAACAUGCUAGUGUGUAAUGGGUGGGGUUGUGCUUGCAGUUGUCAUGUCUCUGAAAGGCUCAGCAAAGUAAGAGAUACCACUUGCUGUCACUCUGUUUUCUUGUAUGAGUCCCUAUUAAUUUAUCAACUGUUUUUUUUUUCAUUUCCCUACUAAUGAACUAUGCUAUUUUUUUCUAUGCUAAUUUGGUAGCAAAUCUCCAUAUGCAGACUUAUUUUCAGGAAAUGGACUCUAGCUUUAGAAGACUCCUUUAUAUGAAAACAGGGGGCCAUACUCAGUCUUAUCUCAGUGUGUUUUGUUCAAGUUACUUUAUAGUCACUUGCCAACUCAGUCCUUUGGUCUCCACCCUCCAAGGACUUAAAAAACGCAAGAAAGUUUACCAGAUAACUGAUCUCUGAGCUUAUGCUUUGUCUGUUGAAAAUGCCUUGUCAAAUUGCACCCAUAGAUGCAAAAGAAUAUACCCACCUUUAUUCUCCUGCCAAAUCUUUGAGAAGCCUGCUUAAAGGAUAAUAUAG